rnacentral:rRNA from 1 species
UACGUAGGGGGCUAGCGUUGUCCGGAAUCAUUGGGCGUAAAGAGCGUGUAGGCGGCCCGGUAAGUCCGCUGUGAAAGUCGGGGGCUCAACCCUCGGAUGCCGGUGGAUACUGUCGGGCUCGAGUACGGAAGAGGCGAGUGGAAUUCCUGGUGUAGCGGUGAAAGUGCGCAGAUAUCAGGAGGAACACCUAUUGCGAAGGCAGCUCGCUGGGACGUUACUGACGCUGAGGAGCGAAAGCAUGGGGAGCGAACAGGAUAGAAACCCCGGUAC